AGUGAACGCUGGCGGUAGGCCUAACACAUGCAAGUCGAACGGCAGCACAGUAAGAGCUUGCUCUUACGGGUGGCGAGUGGCGGACGGGUGAGGAAUACAUCGGAAUCUACUUUUUCGUGGGGGAUAACGUAGGGAAACUUACGCUAAUACCGCAUACGACCUACGGGUGAAAGCAGGGGAUCUUCGGACCUUGCGCGAUUGAAUGAGCCGAUGUCGGAUUAGCUAGUUGGCGGGGUAAAGGCCCACCAAGGCGACGAGCCGUAGCUGGUCUGCGAGGAUGAUCAGCCACACUGGAACUGAGACACGGUCCAGACUCCUACGGGAGGCAGCAGUGGGGAAUAUUGGACAAGGGGCGCAAGCCUGAUCCAGCCAUAGCGCGUGGGUGAAGAAGGCCUUCGGGUUGUAAAGCCCUUUUGUUGGGAAAGAAAAGCAGCAGGUUAAUACCCCGCUGUUCUGACGGUACCCAAAGAAUAAGCACCGGCUAACUUCGUG
rnacentral:rRNA from 1 species